UUUUUGUUUUUUGUUUUUGUUUUUUUUGAAAUGGAGUCUCACUCUGUUGCCAAGGCUGGAGUGCAGUGGCAUGAUCUCAGCUCACUGUCAGCUCCACCUCCCGGGUUCACAUCAUUCUCCUGCCUCGGCCUUCCAAGUAGCUGGGACUACAGGCACAUGCCACCAUGCCUGGCUAAUUUUGUUUCUGUAUUUUUAGCAGAGAUGGGGUUUCACUGUGUUAGCCAGGAUGGUCUCGAUCUCCUGAUCUCGUGAUCCGCCCGCCUUAGCCUCCCAAAGUGCUGGGAUUACAGGCGAGGGUCACCGCGGCCGGUGGACAUAUCAUAGUUUUUAAAUGAUGAGCUGUUAACAUAAAAUUUCAGGCUUGAUAACAGGGUUUUGUCAUAUUAACGAGGGAUUCAUUUACAAUUAUUCUCCAUUUGAGAUAAGUGCCGCAUUCAGUUGGUUUCUUUUGAUAAUAUUAUUUCAUUUACAACAUUAGAUUGUUCUAAACACAUUUUUUAAAUCUAAUGAUGUGGAGAGUUGCCCAGGCUAUAAUUUGGAGUGAUUAAAAAGCAAGUUUCAGAGUAAAAUGCAUGGUAUAAUAUCUUCUUUUGUUAAUGAAAAAAAAGAGCAAAGCAAGAACAUAUGUGCGAAUAUUUAUACAUGUUUAACAUGUUUGAGCAUAGAGGAAAGUGGUUGGGGAUGGCAACAGGCACAUAACAGUUUGGAUAUCUAGCUGUUAAACAAAUCUUAUCCAAAAGCUAGAAACUAUACUUUUCAACUUGGGAGAUGAUGGUCAGUGAAUUCCUAAUAGACCCAUUUGUUGCCUUCUGUUCGCAAAAGUAUUUCUUCAUGGCAUGUUGGAGCAUUUGAAUGUGGUUUUAAAAUACGGCCAAUAAUAUAACAUCCGUGAUUAUUUUCAACAAGCAAAGAAAAUUAGCAAGCAUUAGAAAUGAAUCAAAUUCCCAGUAAUGGAAGUGUUUGUUCCACUUUGGUUUUCUUAAGUAAUCCUAAUAUCUUAUCUAAUUCUUGACAUUUAUAGUCAUAGCAUUUUGAAACUGGAGUAUGUAUAUUGAGACAGUCUGCUUGAGCAAACCACUUAAAAUGAAUUUUUUAAAAGGUAUUAUAGUGUCAUAGAAAAAUGUGGUUUUUUCCCUCAUCCUUCAUUUGAAAAGAAGAAAACCGUAAGAACACAUUCUCCCUCAAAAGCUAGCAUACUCUAGUGCCAGAAAGCAAAAUGUUAUUUAUUACUCACUGCUUAGUUCAUAACAAAGAGCUAGAAAAGACGUAUACUCAUUAGAUGGAGUUGUGUGGACUUCUGAUUUUCACCAGUUCUUUCAACCCUGAAUCAAGAGCAAGAGGCAGAGUCGGGGCCACCUUGUUGUACAACUUCGAGUGGUCAUACGGACGCUGGAUUGCCCUGGAGCACAAAGCCAGUAGUGUUCCUCGGAGUUGUGUCUGCCAGUUCUCUUUGGAUCAAGCAGUGUGUGACCUGGCAUUCAGCGCAGCUCUUUUAUUUGUGUAGAUAUGCUUCACUACUGAGUCUAGCCACCUCUUGCAGCCAGCACAUGAAUCACAGAAUAACUGUUAACUGCAUGGGAAUGCCCUCUCCUGUGGCAGGGGCUUAAGUAAUUAAAUGGAACAAGAUGUUGUCUUGCACUUUCCCCUCAUACGUGUCCUGCAUAAAGGCUAGGAACUGGUUCACACUCUGCAUAUCAAUAGAUUCAUCUAACAAUGAAGCCAUAGCAACUUCUUUCCCUUGUGCACUACCAAUAAUAAGUCCAAAAGUGUCACUGAAUAAGGGAGUCUUACCAAAGGCCCCUGAUUUCUCUCAGGGCAUAGUACUU
ensembl:lncRNA